rnacentral:rRNA from 1 species
AGCGAACGCUGGCGGCAGGCUUAACACAUGCAAGUCGAACGCUCGUAGCAAUACGGGAGUGGCAGACGGGUGAGUAACGCGUGGGAAUAUGCCUUUUGGUUCGGAAUAACUCAGGGAAACUUGAGCUAAUACCGGAUAAGCCCGAGAGGGGAAAGAUUUAUCGCCAAAAGAUUAGCCCGCGUCCGAUUAGCUUGUUGGUGAGGUAAUGGCUCACCAAGGCGACGAUCGGUAGCUGGUCUGAGAGGAUGAU